rnacentral:rRNA from 1 species
GAUGAACGCUGGCAGCGUGCUUAACACAUGCAAGUCGAACGGUGAACACGGAGCUUGCUCUGUGGGAUCAGUGGCGAACGGGUGAGUAACACGUGAGCAACCUGCCCCUGACUCUGGGAUAAGCGCUGGAAACGGCGUCUAAUACUGGAUAUGUGACGUGACCGCAUGGUCUGCGUUUGGAAAGAUUUUUCGGUUGGGGAUGGGCUCGCGGCCUAUCAGCUUGUUGGUGAGGUAAUGGCUCACCAAGGCGUCGACGGGUAGCCGGCCUGAGAGGGUGACCGGCCACACUGGGACUGAGACACGGCCCAGACUCCUACGGGAGGCAGCAGUGGGGAAUAUUGCACAAUGGGCGCAAGCCUGAUGCAGCAACGCCGCGUGAGGGAUGACGGCCUUCGGGUUGUAAACCUCUUUUAGCAGGGAAGAAGCGAAAGUGACGGUACCUGCAGAAAAAGCGCCGGCUAACUACGUG